rnacentral:rRNA from 1 species
UGGGGAAUAUUGCGCAAUGGACGAAAGUCUGACGCAGCGACGCCGCGUGUGGGAUGAAGCUCUUCGGGGUGUAAACCACUGUUGCCCGGGACGAAACUCCUUUUUCGAGAGGAUUGACGGUACCGGGUGAGGAAGCACCGGCUAACUCUGUGCCAGCAGCCGCGGUAAUACAGAGGGUGCGAGCGUUGUCCGGAAUCACUGGGCGUAAAGGGCGCGUAGGUGGCGGGAUAAGCGUGUGGUGAAAGCUCGGGGCUCAACUCCGAGUCUGCCAUGCGGACUGUCUUGCUUGAGCGUAGUAGAGGCAGGUGGAAUUCCGGGUGUAGCGGUGGAAUGCGUAGAGAUCCGGAAGAACACCGGUGGCGAAGGCGGCCUGCUGGGCUACUGCUGACACUGAUGCGCGACAGCGUGGGGAGCAAACAGGAUUAGAUACCCCCGUAGUCC